UACGUAGGUGGCAAGCGUUGUCCGGAAUUAUUGGGCGUAAAGCGCGCGCAGGCGGUUUCUUAAGUCUGAUGUGAAAGCCCACGGCUCAACCGUGGAGGGUCAUUGGAAACUGGGGAACUUGAGUGCAGAAGAGAAGAGCGGAAUUCCACGUGUAGCGGUGAAAUGCGUAGAGAUGUGGAGGAACACCAGUGGCGAAGGCGGCUCUUUGGUCUGUAACUGACGCUGAGGCGCGAAAGCGUGGGGAGCGAACAGG
rnacentral:rRNA from 1 species